AUCCCAUGAUGAGGGUAGGCGAGGAUGUAUUCUUGUAGUCUUUCCCAAGCUUUCGGGAUAGUUUCCAUCCCUAUCUACUGGAAACUCGUAAUUUUCCUGCGAAGGGC